UGUGUUUACGAAGAUACUUUCAUUCAAAAAAUGGAAUAAAUAGUGUAUAGUUUUAGAAGUAACAGAUUUUAUAUUAUCAUUAAUUAGAAUUGUAUUGUAUAUGUUUCGUAAUUCUUUAUUUUAGGUGAAUAAUAUUAUUUUUCCAUAAAUAAUAAACAAACAUUUAUGUAGACAUAUUAAAAGAAAAUA